rnacentral:rRNA from 1 species
UACGUAGGGGGCAAGCGUUGUCCGGAAUCCUUGGGCGUAAAGCGCGCGUAGGCGGCCCGGUAAGUCCGCUCUGAAAGUCCAGGGCUCAACCCUGGAAAGCGGGUGGAUACUGCCGGGCUAGAGUCCGGAAGAGGUGAGUGGAAUUCCUGGUGUAGCGGUGAAAUGCGCAGAUAUCAGGAAGAACACCCGUGGCGAAAGCGGCUCUCUGGGACGGUACUGACGCUGAGACGCGAAAGCGUGGGGAGCGAACAGG